AGAGAGAGAGAGAGAGAUAAUUGGAGACUAAGGAGGAAGAGAUGGGCAGGAGAUUACAGAAUAUGGUUGAAACUUGAAAUAGUUGAUGAACAAGGGAAAAUUGUCCACAUAGCUUUUGAAUUGUAAGAACUGCAAAACUAAAUCAAAUUGUACAACUUAAAUUAUGAAAGGUAGAUAUGUCUGUGAUUCUCAUUGAUUUUGACAUGCAUGCUGACUUCAAAU
rnacentral:misc_RNA from 1 species